rnacentral:misc_RNA from 1 species
UAGUAUCACUUUUCUAUUAACAGGUGCCCGUGUCUCUGGCCAUGUCGAGUAUGAACAGCGGAGGAGGUCACCACCAAUUCCAGCAGCAGCAGCAGCAACAGCAUCAGCAGCACCAGCAGCACCAACCACAGCAGCAGCAGCAGCAACAGGCCGUCCAUAUCCAUACCCAUGCCCGUGGCCCAUCUUCCAUGAUGUGUGCUGCACCGACACAACCCCAUCACACGCACCAUCUCAGUGGUACCCAUGUGCAGUCCCCGCCUCACCAGAUGGGAGGAGCCAGCGGGGGUAGCUACAGCAACGUCCCACGCCUCCACCAUUGCAACGUUCACUCCUUCCUUUGUUCCAACCCGCCUCUCCAUCAUCAGUACCAGAUGAAUGGAGGAUGCCUUGGUCCCCAGCACCACUAUGCCCCCAUGGUGCCUCCUGGUCAUCAUGCAGCUGGCCCUCUUCUGACACCUGCAGGGCCACCCCAAUUAAUGGCUGCCACUCCCCAGCCCCCCCACACCCACACCUCUAUGUAUGGACAGGCACCCAUGGGAGUGGCUCCUCCUCAGGCCGUCCCCACCCACCUCACAGCUGUUCCCGGACAACUGUCUGCAGCGCCGCAGAGUCUGGGAGUCAGUGUAGCUCCUCAGCUUCCCCCUCAACACCACCAUCACACCCACCAGCAACCCACACCUCCUUUGGUAACGCCUUUCCCUGCCCACACUCACCUUCAUCAACUCCAUCAUUUGCAUGCAAGCAGCGGAAGUGGAGGUGGUGCACGAGGUGCUAGCGUUGACAUGCUUGGUCGGGGGCUAUAUCGUGGUCCAGGUCAAGGUCAUGUGCUAGGUCGUAUGAGAGGACCAAGAGGUAGCAGCGGAAGCAGUUUGGGAGGCACAAGACGUAGUAGUUCUAGCUGGCGAGGAAACACCAUGCCUCCAGCUGCCCCUCCACCCCCACCACCCCCACCCCUCCCUAGUGCUGCUGCAGCAGCAGCCACAUACCCUGGCAUUCUCUUACAUUUCUUGGCAAUGUUGUCACAUCCAUCGCUACACCAAUACAGCGUGGUAGACCCAGUGCCUGCGGAAGCUCCAGACACAGAGAACUAUGAGGCCCUACUACAUCUGGCAGAAAGACUAGGCGAGGCCAAACCUAGAGGCCUUAUGAAGACCGUGAUUGACCAGCUCCCGUCCUAUAGGUAUACUGGGGAGAAGUCCGACACAAAACAGACAACAUGUGUAAUAUGCAUGUGUGAUUUCGAACUCCGGCAGAUGUUACGUGUAUUACCAUGCCUGCAUGAGUUUCAUACCAAGUGUGUUGAUAAGUGGCUCAAGACUGUGGUCAGUACCAUGCAGUUGAGUCCCUUCACUGUGGUUGGUGCCGCGCAGUUGGUACCCGUGACUGUGUUCGGUGCCGAGCGGUUGGUACCCUUGACUGUGCCCCGAGCUAACCAGUGCGUGUGUCUUGCAUGAGCAGGAGGGUGGCGUGCCUUGUGCCGUAUACCACUGCUGGCUGCUUGCAUGCUUGCAGUAUCAUGAUGAUGGCCUUUUUGGUGCCUGCAGUCAAACCGUACUUGCCCGAUCUGCCGUGGAGAUGCCAGCGAGUUUCUUAAAGAGACCACCAGUU